rnacentral:rRNA from 1 species
UACGUAGGUGGCAAGCGUUGUCCGGAUUUACUGGGCGUAAAGAGCGCGCAGGCGGCCAAGUCAGUCGAAUGUGAAAGCCCCCGGCUUAACUGGGGAGGGUCAUUCGAUACUGCUCGGCUCGAAGACAGGAGAGGGAAGUGGAAUUCCCGGUGUAGUGGUGAAAGUGCGUAGAGUAUCGGGAGGAACACCAGUGGCGAAGGCGAACUUUCUGGCCUGGUUCUUGACUGCUGAGGCGCGAAAAGCUAAGGGGAGCAAACGGGG